rnacentral:rRNA from 1 species
AGAAACUUUUAACAAUGGAUCUCUUGGCUCUCGCAUCGAUGAAGAACGCAGUUAUGUGCGAUAUCUAGUGCGAUUUGCAUGAAUCUGUGAGUCAUCGAGUUUUUGAACGCAACUUGCGCCCAGCAAUGGGCAUGUCUGUUCGAGUACC